GGUGAUUCAGUGGUAGAAUGCUCGGCCCGGGUUCGAUUCCCGGCAGAUGCA
rnacentral:tRNA from 1 species